rnacentral:hammerhead_ribozyme from 1 species
AUCCAUAUGAUGUGUUUUGAAUAGAACGAAACGUGCGUCCUGGAU